rnacentral:lncRNA from 1 species
UCCUAAUGCUUGUUGAACAAUAAAUGAAAUGGAAUUUUCUCAUGUCCAACACAAACUACGUAACAAAACAGUUGCAAGGCAUUUUCCAUUUGAAAGAAACGCAAGAUACUAAAACACCAAAUAUAGAGAAACAUACUAUAUCCUAGGAUUUAGUUUGGUUGAAUAGCCUCAUUCAUAUUUAUAUCAAUCACGUCACCAUUCACGACCUCCUCAAACAAGGAACACAUUAUAUGAAUAAUAUCUAUCUGUGAAGAUGAACUAGGGAUGUACAAAUUCAAACACGGGUCUAUGUGUCAUUGGGAUUCUUCGUAUAAUACUCAAUAUAGAAUAAUAAAAUUUGUUAGCGCCCGUUAGGGCACAAAGUACCAUUACAGGGACAUGUACAAAGAUCAAGUAGAAAAAGAAAAAACACUAUAUACUUCUGUAGAAUGGCGAUACAACAGAAAUCAUUCAGGCAAUGACGUGAUUCAUCCGACUUCCCUCAUGCUCCUUCAACUUGUACCAAAGAAAUCAGCCACAUGUAUCUCGUUUUUUGCCCAAAUAAACACUCGAUGCCUUCACAUUGAAUUGCCUUGCACUAGCGUCCCUGGCAUGUUUUAUAGUCUACUCGUUUUUCAUGAUCUUCUAAGAUGAUCCCUGGUGAAAAAAGGAUGCUCGAGGGCCUCGCGAGCUGACAAUC